GAUGUUCAUUUUGUAAAUUAUGGCCCCAUUUAGAGUAAAAAUAGACGAUAAAGCAGGGUAUGCUUUAGGGCGCGGCUACGUUGUGAUUGGCGCCUAUACAGGAGUAUAGGCGUAGCCGUCGCUAUGUCAGUGUGUUUUCAGUUCAUGAAAGCUAACUGUAUCAUUUUGUUCGCGUAAUACAAUCUUGCUCAGCGUUUGAUUGUACUAAAAGACCCUCAGAUGUUCAGUUUUUCCGUUAUAUUGUGGUGAAAGUGAGAUCUGAUGUGUUGCGACCUCGCUCCGGUACACAAACCCUAUUUAACCCCACAGCAGGACCCUGAACAGGAUUGGAGCUACGCGGCUGCUGUUGGACAGAUGUGAUGGAUGAGGUCUGUGGACCAAACGUGUCACCUGCAGUACAUGAUGGCGCUCUGAUAGUGGUGAGGAAAUCAAUGAAGGGCCUGAGAGCAGCCGGUCUGGCAGACUUGACACGCAACAGAGGAAGGGUGGAGCAUAAAAAAGCCGAGUGUGGACCGCGAGCCUAUUCACUGUGGUUUGGAAAAGCAGACACGAGGCUGAGGUGAGAGAGCAGGGAAAAGAGAGCAGGGAGAGAGAGGACAGAUAACCCGGCCGGCUUUCACACCCUUGAAGGAGAACAGGAAUGACCUUCGACCUCUGGAUCUGUGAGCACCCCACCGUCCCUCCUCCAAGUAGCGACCCCUCAGCGGCAGCCGACCAUGCCUAAGCCGGAGAGACAGAGCGAGGAGGAAGUGUCUGCACUAACCAGCAGGUGAGCAUCAUCACCAUCAUCCUCAUCUUUCCACCCUUCAUGCACCUGCGACCCCUUCUACCAGCGGAUCAGAGUGUGAAGAUAUUAAACCAACUGGCAGGAUCGGUUGAGAGCUCGCCGACUGACGGGCCAGAACAGAUGCACAGGAGGAGGAAUUGGACAAAUUUCAGGACAUCUAAUGCUACCUUUCAGCUGUUAUGAAGCGACUUUUGCACCAUUCAUCAGACUGUACCUCUCUUGUACCUGCGUCUGUGUGAGGUGAGGAAUAAAUUCUCUCUCUCGCUCUCUGUAAUAUCUGCUUCCUUUCCUCCCGUGGAGACGCUCAGCGGGUCGCUUCACAUCUCCACAACUCCGGAUGGAAGGAAGAUAAAACACAGCAGCAGAGUAUCAUACCGGGGUUGAUGCACCGUUCAUGUCGAGCGAUCUGACUGAGUGGG